rnacentral:rRNA from 1 species
GAUGAACGCUGGCGGCGUGCCUAAUACAUACAAGUCGAGCGAAUGGAUUAAGAGCUUGCUCUUAUGAAGUUAGCGGCGGACGGGUGAGUAACACGUGGGUAACCUGCCCAUAAGACUGGGAUAACUCCGGGAAACCGGGGCUAAUACCGGAUAACAUUUUGAACCGCAUGGUUCGAGAUUGAAAGGCGGCUUCGGCUGUCACUUAUUGAUGGACCCUCGUCGCAUUAGUUAGUUGGUGAGGUAACGGCUCACCAAGGCAACGAUGCGUAGCCGACCUGAUAGGGUGAUCGGCCACACUGGGACUGAGACACGGCCCAGACUCCUACGGGAGGCAGCAGUAGGGAAUCUUCCGCAAUGGACGAAAGUCUGACGGAGCAACGCCGCGUGAGUGAUGAAGGCUUUCGGGUCGUAAAACUCUGUUGUUAGGGAAGAACAAGUGCUAGUUGAAUAAGCUGGUACCUUGACGGUACCUAACCAGAAAGCCACGGCUAACUACGUGCCAGCCGCCGCCGUAA